rnacentral:rRNA from 1 species
GGACUACCAGGGUAUCUAAUCCUUUUCGCUACCCACGCUUUCGUGUUUCAGUGUCAGGAAUGGCCCAAUGUGCUGCCUUCGCUUUCGGUGUUCCCCAUGAUAUCAACGGAUUUCACCCCUACUCCAUGAGUUCCACACAUCCCUGCCAUCCUCUAGUCGCGCCGUUUCAGUCGCGGUUCCGGGGUUAAGCCCCGGGUUUUGACGACUGACUAACGCGACCACCUACACACCCUUUACGCCCAAUGAUUCCGGAUAACGCUCGGGGCACUCGUAUUACCGCGGCUGCUGGCAC